AAACUUUGAAUUUGAUUUAAAUAUUAAAUUAUCAUAUUGCCCUUUGAUUAAUUUAAAUAAUAACAUUUAUUGAGAUUUGACAAACUUAUCACUUGCAUGUGAUGUGCAAGUGACUUAUUGCAUGCAAUACACGUACUCCACUAAGAAUGUCAAAUGGUGAGAUAGGGAAGAUCUUGCAUGUAGUUUACUUGUAGAGAGUUUUUUUUAAAGAUGAAAGGACUCUUGAAUUUUAAAUGAUGAGAAUUAAUUUUGUAAUUAAGAAUUACAAAAUAAAAAUUGAGAAGUCUUUUUAUUUUACUCUCAACAAAAAUCUAAAAGUUAGGUUCCUCCAAAAGGUAUCAGCUCUCUCGCGGGUCAACUCUAAUGGUAGUCCCGACUUCAAAUUUGUGAAGAGAAUAUAAGAGAAGAAAAGAUUUAGAGGUAAGUUUUUCUAUUAACCCCAUCGGUUAUUAUGCAUAUUGAUUACUAAAUUUAGUUUAGUUGCAAUUAGAGUAAAGUUUGUUCCUUUUUUUGUUGCACAUGUCUACCAUUUCCAUCAUGUGAUAUCAGAGCAUGCUUAAUUUUACUCCAUUGCAUAUUGUGGGUUUGUCAAUUUGCAUGUUGUGGAUUUAUCAAUUUAUUACAUAAACUGUGUGUUGAACUAAAAUGGAUAUAUUACGGUUUUGACAAAUUAAAUUAAGCUUAUCGUUUGUAAUAAUUAUUAUAAUUAGCUAGGUUUGUGACUUAAUUUAUUAUUGCAAAGGGUCUGUAAAUUUUAAUGAAGCCAUUAGAGUUUGAAAUUAGGGUGUAUUUUCAUAAAUCGGGUGAGAGAAAAAGCUUAAAAUUGUAAAAAAAAAGAGAAGACAGACCCGAAAUUCACUUCUAGACCCGGUUGGACGCAUCAAACCCGACCCACGGCCCGCUCGCGAUCCGCUUCCUCCAGCCCAAUUCCGUCUCACGCGCGGUUUGUGCCUCACUUCCACCCGCUCGUUUUGCACGUCCGCCCACUGCCUCACGACUCCGCUUAAUCUGCUUCGCGUGCGGCCCAUCUCACUUGAUGCUCAUACCCGCAUGACCCGUACCUGACCCGAUUCAGUUGACCCGCUCGCCUGGUAGUGGACCAGUGUGUUUUUUCGGCCGGUUCAAGACCAAUAGUUGGGUUCUUGGGCCGAUUUAAGGGGAUUUUGAGCCGGUUGUGUGGAAUUUUGAAGGUUUUCAAGCCGACUGAGUUGUUC
rnacentral:lncRNA from 1 species